UUUGGAACCUUCUUAGCGGGGAAGCUCUUACUUCGUCUAGUCCUUGAUGAUUCUGGAAGAGAUGUAUGAGGCAGCGUAUUGAAUAUCUUGCUCUCGUUGUUUCGACCUGGCGCUUUUUGAGGUUUCAUGUUUUUUGGCAAAUUCGGCUAAGGAGUCGCGUCUGUGGCCGUACUUGCACAAGUCGUGGCAGGAGCCUAUCGAUGCUCUGAGAUAAUUUGGAAUUGGGAUUAGAUCACUGAAGAGUAAAGCUGCGCCUCCUGUUGAGUUCCGGCGUUGAAGCCUGGAUUCCGGUUUGAUCUUCUUAAGUUUUGUUGGGGCCUUGAUCAUUCAUUUGGCCAUUGGGGAAGAUCAACAAAGCUGCAGACAGAGGAAUAACAUGAAGGUAUUGAAUUGUUGAUUGUUUGUAUUGUUAAUUUUUAAAAAUGGCUAAUCAAAAACCCUUUUGGUUUGUAAUGGUGUUAAUAUAUGUGAAUAAGGCAGGAUUUUCAUUGACAUUUGAAUA